GGGUGGCGAGUGGCGAACGGGUGAGUAACAUAUCGGAACGUACCGAGCAGUGGGGGAUAACUAAUCGAAAGAUUAGCUAAUACCGCAUAUUUUCUGAGGAAGAAAGCAGGGGACCAUUUGGCCUUGCGCUGUUUGAGCGGCCGAUAUCUGAUUAGCUAGUUGGUGGGGUAAAGGCCUACCAAGGCGACGAUCAGUAGCGGGUCUGAGAGGAUGAUCCGCCACACUGGGACUGAGACACGGCCCAGACUCC
rnacentral:rRNA from 1 species